rnacentral:misc_RNA from 1 species
UCAAGGUCGUCGGAUUUAGAGGUCCUUUCGCAAGGGGGAGGAUCAGUCUUGAAUAAAAAAGAAGAGCUAUCGUCGUGGACAGAUAGACCACUUACCAGAAGAAAAAAGAAAGGAAUUCCUCGCUCUACUAGUAAAGUAGAAAUGAAAGCAAAUGGUCCUAGGGACCUUAAAAGAAAGCAAAUUAGAAAGCAUUCGAAUUGACAACAUGUGAGUAUAAACUCACUCCCCUUUUGUGGACUCACACUAAACCUCCCGUUUUGGACUCGCGCG